GAUGAACGCUGGCGGCGUGCCUAAUACAUGCAAGUCGAGCGAACAGACGAGGAGCUUGCUCCUUUGACGUUAGCGGCGGACGGGUGAGUAACACGUGGGUAAACUACCUAUAAGACUGGGAUAACUUCGGGAAACCGGAGCUAAUACCGGCUAAUAUUUCGAACCGCAUGGUUCGAUAGUGAAAGAUGGCUUUGCUAUCACUUAUAGAUGGACCUGCGCCGUAUUAGCUAGUUGGUAAGGUAACGGCUUACCAAGGCAACGAAACGUAGCCGACCUGAGAGGGUGAUCGGCCACACUGGAACUGAGACACGGUCCAGACUCCUACGGGAGGCAGCAGUAGGGAAUCUUCCGCAAUGGGCGAAAGCCUGACGGAGCAACGCCGCGUGAGUGAUGAAGGUCUUCGGAUCGUAAAACUCUUUUAUUAGGGAAGAACAAACGUGUAAGUAACUGUGCACGUCUUGACGGUACCUAAUCAGAAAGCCACGGCUAACUACGUG
rnacentral:rRNA from 1 species